UAAUAGUCGAAAGCGAAUGUUGCCUUACAUUUAAGCCGACUAUGUAUAAUUACAUACAAUACAGACGUCUCUUUCACUCGCACGCAACGGCCUAGCUAUUAAGACAGAUCAAUUUGAUCAUACACGAAAAAUCACUGGUCGGUGGCCAGCCGCCAUCUUUUUUUGUCAUUUAACCGCCAAUUCCCAAAAGUGUGGUAUUCAAUACGCGUAAAUACGCGCAUAACUUAAUCAAAAUCCGUCCACAUUUCAUUUAAAAGCGUGGCAACAUAGAAUACUGAAGAAAGAUGGCGAAUGCGCGACUAUACGACUUCUAAGUUAUGUCACAUGCGUCAAAGAUAUGUAUACAUGUUUCUCCUUAACAUAAUAGUGGGUUAAAGAAUAAAAUUGUAUACAUAUAUUCGACACAACCGGUAGAUUAUACUCUGUGCCAUUGGCAUAAAGAUGACCGGUUAUUCCUAGAGAUUGACCAGUUUUAAACGCAUCGCGUUAAAACGCUGCGUUUAUCGCAUAAAACAAUCGCGCGCUUAAACUGCGCGCAACACCAAACUUACCUAAGCUCAGCUCACCAAAUAAUGAAAGGCAAUUCUCCUAAGUCCCAACGUUCUUUUAAAAGGACAAUAUAAAAUCGAAUUUUGAACUAUAAUGGAAUAUAAGAAGGUUCGAAAUUCAAAACUGCAAAAAAUUAUCUAGAACUUAGGAUGAUCUAACAUUUCUUUAUUUGGGCGAAAGUGGGAAAUGGUGCACUUUAAAAAUGGUCUAUCUCUAGGAAUAACAUAACCUAGAUCGUUAUCGUAUGUCGCAAACGAAAAGAGACAAAGUGCCAAUUGAAACAGCCUUCGAAAUAGUUAUUUACGAUACAAGUGCGGAAAGGAUAUUGUAGAACUAAUCUGUGAUUAUUUCUGAAACAAAUUGACGAAUGAUCAAAUUUUAAAAAUGUAAACAACCGCUUUAAUAGGGGGUAUUACUGCAGCGUUCUGCCGCCAGAGUGCAGCACUAGCACCUAUCGUAAACCAUAGAGUAACUUAUACAUACCUACUGUGCCUUUAACUGUUUUUUGACAUAUUUUCACACAUA